UACGUAGGGUGCAAGCGUUGUCCGGAAUUAUUGGGCGUAAAGAGCUCGUAGGCGGUCUGUCGCGUCGGCUGUGAAAACCUGGGGCUUAACCCCGGGCCUGCAGCCGAUACGGGCAGACUAGAGUUCGGCAGGGGAGACUGGAAGUUCCUGGUGUAGCGGUGAAAUGCGCAGAUAUCAGGAGGAACACCGGUGGCGAAGGCGGGGUCUCUGGGCCGAAACUGACGCUGAGGAGCGAAAGCGUGGGGAGCAAACAGG
rnacentral:rRNA from 1 species